GGAGGGGUUGUUUAAGAGCAGAGCCAAACCCCAGUGUUUGUAGCAAAUAUGGGGUCUCCAAUCACCUCCCACUUUCUCACUCUCCUCCUCUUCAUCAUCUCUCUUAGCUUGCCUUCUCAAACUCUAGCAAAUUACCCUUACUCAUCUCCUCCUCCUCCGCCUCCUAAGGAGUACUCACCACCCCCUUACUACUACAAGUCACCACCUCCUCCUCCUCCGGUCUACUCCCCACCACCACCCAAGGAGCCUUACAAGUAUAAGUCUCCACCACCUCCUCCACCAGUGCAUUAUCCUCCACCCCCUUACGAGUACAAGUCUCCUCCGCCACCCCCGCCAUCACCACCCAAGCAUCCCUAUAAGUACAAGUCUCCACCUCCACCAUCACCACCCAAGCACCCUUACAAGUACAAGUCUCCACCACCCCCACCAUCACCACCCAAGCACCCCUACAAGUACAAGUCUCCUCCACCACCUCCACCAUCACCACCCAAGCACCCCUACAAGUAUAAGUCUCCACCACCCCCACCAUCACCACCCAAGCAUCCUUACAAGUACAAGUCUCCACCACCACCACCACCAUCACCACCCAAGCACCCCUACAAGUACAAGUCUCCUCCACCUCCACCAUCACCACCCAAGCAUCCUUACAAGUACAAGUCUCCACCACCACCACCAUCACCACCCAAGCACCCCUACAAGUACAAGUCUCCUCCACCCCCACCAUCACCACCCAAGCACCCUUACAAGUACAAGUCUCCACCACCACCUCCACCAUCACCACCCAAGCACCCUUACAAGUACAAGUCUCCACCCCCACCAUCACCACCCAAGCAUCCCUACAAGUACAAGUCUCCACCCCCACCCCCACCCCCACCCUCACCACCCAAGCACCCCUACAAGUACAAGUCUCCACCCCCACCCUCACCACCCAAGCACCCUUACAAGUAUAAGUCUCCCCCACCACCCACUCCAGUCUACAAAUAUAAGUCUCCUCCCCCUCCUCCUCCAGCUUACUAUUACAAGUCUCCUCCUCCACCACCACCCCAUUAUGUCUACUCAUCACCACCUCCUCCUCACCACUACUAAGCAACGGCUUUGACCGCACCAAGGUAACCUACAUUUAUUUUUUGCAUCUCCUCAAGGAGCAUUAUUUCACAUUAUUUUUCUAGUUUAAUUUUAGUGAGUUGAAUAACCAAAGAACAACAUCAUGUUGCAGGGGAACAAAAGAGUGUGAUCCAAUAAAGCGACAGAGAAAGAGAGCAGUGAGAGGUCGCCUAGUCUCCGCGUUUCAAGAGAAGAAAAAGAAAACAAGAAUGAUGUAGACAAGUAGUAGGGUCAAUAAAAAACAAGGGGUUCAUCGUUUUCACAUUU
rnacentral:lncRNA from 1 species